CACCGCGGUUAUACGAGGGGCCCAAGCAGAUAGGUGACGGCGUAAAGUGUGGCCAAGGGAGUGUACUAAAAAUUAAAGCGGAACGCCCUCAACGUGGUUCAAUACUAUGUGAGGUCAUAUAACAGACAACUACGAAAGUGGCUUUACACAUACGCCCCCACCCACGAAAGCUUUGGCA
rnacentral:rRNA from 1 species